CAAAGGUAGUGGGAAUGAAGUCCCUCUACACUGUCUGGGCCUGAACCAGCCUACCACACCAUCUCCACCUCUCCUAAACUGCUGCACCUGGUGCCCAUGUGACCUUCUCUGGUCCCUCCCCUCCUCAGGCAGUGCCCCAACUGAAGCAAGGAGCUUGUGCAUGCCUCACCUGUCCGGCAAUUCUGUCCAGAUCUCUCUGUCCCUGAGGUGUUAGCUUGCGGCCCCUGUGCAAAGGGGGAAAAAAAAAAGAAAUCACAGUCCUUGGAUGAGCACAGACUCUGCCUCCUUGGGGAGGACAGAAGAAAGCACCCAGAGGGAACCACAUUCUGCCUGCCCACUCAUGUCCAAGCCAGCUGCAUCCUAAGGAACUGAGGGCAGGAGUGGGAGACCCCUGGGAGCUGACAGGGUGUCGUUUGUGCAAGCAUCAGAUCAAAAGCCCCGAAAAAUCAAUUGGGAAAAGUUAACGAGCAGGCUAAUGAAAGCAGACAGUCGCUAAAUUACCUUCCCAGAGCCAGAAGUCAGCCAGAGAGGCCUGGGUGAGGCCCUUACCAUCUGCCUUCUGAAGGCCCUGUACCUCCAUUUGUAGGGAGGUCCAACAGCUUCACCGUAAGUCACCAAUGGACAAUGACCACCCCGACCAGCCACAACCCUGCAUACCCAUCUUGGUCCUUUUCCACCAUUUUCAGCCCCUCUAGGGCUUGGAGGACGCGGCGGGCCACACUCUUGGAGCCUCUGCUGAAGUGGCUGGGCCUGACACCGUUUCUCUGCCGUCCUCCGUAGAUCUUGGUCAUGGAGCCAACCCCAGCACCACCUCG